CUGCCAGCGUGGAAAACCGGCCACGUGCAGGUCUGGGGCUGGGCACACACAGGGUCACACCCAGGAAGGGAUAAGCUAUGCAUUUCUAUUGAUAGAGUGGGCAGGGACCACAGGAAUUUAGAAAAUAUUAGGGCCAAGUUUACUGGGGAAAAUGUACAGGCCAGCAGAUAGCAUGGAAAAGUCCCCUCCCUGAGGAAGGGAAGCAUCUCAGAGGAGGUAAGAGACUGCUCCCAGGGCUGUGGUUAGAGCCUCCCCAACCGCAGCACGAUGCCCUUUGUCCCAUCUUCAGCAGGAGGGGCUGCUCUCCAUGGAGAUGAGGCUGACAGGGUCAGCGGAGUAGCCUGUGACAGGCAGGUUUUAAUAAGUUCAUUUUCAGCCAACCCCUGAAAUGGGUUAUUUUUGUUCCAUGGGAAUGCUCUACAUCUUCUGAAAGAUGGCACCUGGGACCCAGCCCAUGGCCUUCCUGGGGUAGGAUGUGCUGGAGAAGGAUUCUGUGGACCUGACAGAGAAGACAGAAGCCAGAGAGUAGACACCCGGAAAGAAAGAGGGAAAAGUGUGGUGGGAAGGACAGAGGGGACCCGAAGUUCCCCACGCCAGGGAAAUGACAGGGGGUUGCCAGUCUGUUUCUGAUGGUUGAGCAGUCAGGGGCCCAGAGACGCAGGAAACCCAAAAUCCUUGGUCCACCACGGGGCUGUCCUCAGGGUCUGGAGAGCAGGCCCCAUACUCCAGGCCCCCAUCCUCCAGGCCCUCGUCCCCCAGGCUCCAUCCUCCAGGCCCCCAUUCUCCAGGGCUCCAUCCUCUAGGCCCCUGUCCUCCAGGCCCCCAUCCUCUAGGCCCUCAUCCUCCAGGCUCCAUCCUCCAGGCUCCAUCCUCCAGGUUUCAUCCUUCAGGCCAUCAUCCUCCAGGCCCCCGUCCUCCAGGCCCCCAUCCUCCAGGCCCCAUCCUCCAGGCCCCCAUCUUUCAGGCCCCUGUCCUCCAGGCUCUUGUCCUCCAGGCCCUCAUCCUCCAGGCCCCUGCUCCUCCAGACCCUCAUCCUCCAGACCCUCAUCCUCCAGGCCCCCAUCUUUCAGGCCCCUGUCCUCCAGGCCCUCUUCCUCCAGACCCUCGUCCUCCAGGCCCCUGUUCCUCCAGACCCUCGUCCUCCAGACCCUCAUUCUCCAGGCCCCCGUCCUCCAGGCUCCAUCCUCCAGGGCUCCUCUGGGUCCGGGUCAAGUACCUCCAGGCUCUCUGCUGACUGUUCACCACUGGGCAACCACAGGGACUCGAUCCAUGAAAACUCUGGCAAGCCCCUUCAGGAUUCCUGCUGCGACCACCUGACCCAUGCAAAAGAGACCACUUCUCAGCCUCUCUCACUCUCCUGGCCCUGGCGGAAGCCUGUGUUGUCAUAGGCAUGCUUCCCUGGAAUCCUGCUCAGGCCCCCACGCAGGGACACUGAGUGCCCACAGAGUUGGGAAACCAUUACACGAGAUGGGACGUCUGCAAUAGAGUGGCAUCGCUAGUUGAAAGUGGAGCUGUUCACAACCUCCACAACUGUACUUGGUGGCCACGUCCCCAUCACAUGGGCUCAGACUGGGGGCUGGACAUUGACUUUGAGCCCCAAGUCUUCACCCUCAUGCAAAAACCAUCCUCCUUGGAGAUGCAGGCUGGGAAGGGCGCCAUGUCCGGAGUCCCUGCCCUGCUGUCAUCUGCCGACCUUUGUGCAGCCUGUCCCUUUCGUUAAGAAUUUCAGCACUGAGUUCACUGUGUUCCUUGUCAUGCUAAGACUUGGCCACAUCCCAGCCAUCUUCAACAUGGCGGUCGAUGUUUCAUCAAAAUUCACAGUCGCUCAGAUUUUAUUUUUCCUCAUCUCUAGGAACUUCCAUCUCCACUCCACUUCUGCCACUUCUGCCACCCUCCCAUGACCACACUCAGAACUUGAGCUCCACCUCUGAAAGAGGCAGAAUUGCCUUAUCUCACACAGUGGUGACAGCACUCUGUAAUAAUCUGCAUGGGCCAGGGCUCCUUGGUUGCAGGUAACAGAUACCACUGUUACGGCCCAACUCUGUUCUUCUAUGUUGAAGCCGGAACCCCCAGCGCCUCAGAAUGGGAUCACAUCUGGAGAAGGCGCCUUUAAAGAGAGUGCAAGUUAGGUAAGAAAGAACGGAUGGUGGACAGCCAGGAAACAGUCAGCUACGAGAUGUUGUGUGGAAAGCCCACCUUUCUGACACUGGAGAACUGUGGGAAGAACGGACAGGCCACACACCAGCUGGGCUCUGAGAACCCCCAGCUUCUGCUCCACAGUGAGCCAGCAGGAAUCCAAAGGGCAUGGGCAGACCCCAGGGGCUCCUUCACCCCACCCAGGGGUAGAGAGGGCAAGACGGAGUAGAGCGAGCAGACAGAGAGUGUAAGAUCAGACAUACCAUAGAUGGAAAAGAAAAGCUAAAACUUCCUUGCACAUCUGAGAGGUAAGAGGAGGUGUCUGUGGCCCCCCUGACACAUACGUGACAUAUGUAUUAUUACGGCUCAUGUGUGUGCUGCUGUGUGCAGGGGGCAGGGGGCUUCCCGUUCCUGAUGGUUCUUCUUGGUGGGUGUCUCCCGGCCUCUCAGGCCUCUUUAUCUGCUGAACGUGGUAGCCAAGGGUUUGGGAAUGAUUUGCCAGACUGGUUAAUGUGGAAAGAGCUGGCCCCGCUCAGUUCUGCACCUCCCUCUUCCUCCCUGGAACCGUCUGGCUGCAGAGAGCAGGAGCUUUCCAGAGCUCCCGGGGGAUCCCAUCUCCAGUAUAACUGUGCAACGUGUGCCCAGCACAAGAGCACCAGAUGGAGGGACAGGUGGGAGGAGGAGGAACCCAGGGUGCAUUUAGCUUGGGGCUUGCUGAGCUGAGGUCCCCAGAGCAAGGA
rnacentral:lncRNA from 1 species